AGAGUUUGAUCCUGGCUCAGAAUGAACGCUGGCGGCGUGCUUAACACAUGCAAGUCGAACGAGAAAGGGAUUGCUUGCAAUCCUGAGUAGAGUGGCGCACGGGUGAGUAACACGUAGAUAAUCUGCCUCCAAGCCUGGGAUAACUAUUCGAAAGGGUAGCUAAUACCGGAUGAAGUACAUUGGCAUAAGUUGAUAUAUGAAAGAUUGCCUCUUCUUGAAAGCAAUCGUUUGGAGAUGAGUCUGCGGACCAUUAGUUAGUUGGUGGGGUAAAGGCCUACCAAGGCAGCGAUGGUUAGCUGGUCUGAGAGGAUGAUCAGUUACACUGGAACUGGAACACGGUCCAGACUCCUACGGGAGGCAGCAGUGAGGAAUUUUGCGCAAUGGGGGAAACCCUGACGCAGCAACGCCGCGUGAGUGAAGAAGGCCCUUGGGUCGUAAAGCUCUGUCGACAGGGAAGAAAUUGAGAUAUAUUAAUAGUAUAUUUUAUUGACGGUACCUGUAGAGGAAGCACCGGCUAACUCCGUGCCAGCAGCCGCGGUAAUACGGGGGGUGCAAGCGUUAUUCGGAAUUAUUGGGCGUAAAGGGCGCGUAGGCGGUCUUGUCGGUCAGAUGUGAAAGCCCGGGGCUCAACCCUGGAAGUGCAUUUGAAACAGCAAGACUUGAGUACGGGAGAGGAGAGCGGAAUUCCUGGUGUAGAGGUGAAAUUCGUAGAUAUCAGGAGGAACACCGAUGGCGAAGGCAGCUCUCUGGACCGAUACUGACGCUGAGGCGCGAAGGCGUGGGUAGCGAACAGGAUUAGAUACCCUGGUAGUCCACGCAGUAAACGUUGUUCACUCGGUGUAGCGGAUAUUAAAAUCUGCUGUGCCCAAGCUAACGUGGUAAGUGAACCGCCUGGGGAGUACGGUCGCAAGACUAAAACUCAAAGGAAUUGACGGGGGCCCGCACAAGCGGUGGAGCAUGUGGUUUAAUUCGACAACGCGAAGAACCUUACCUGGAUUUGACAUCCUGUGAAUCCCUUGGAAACUUGGGAGUGCCUUCGGGAACACAGUGACAGGUGCUGCAUGGCUGUCGUCAGCUCGUGUCGUGAGAUGUUUGGUUAAGUCCAGCAACGAGCGCAACCCUUAUCGUUAGUUGCCAGCACGUAAUGGUGGGAACUCUAGCGAGACUGCCCCGGUUAACGGGGAGGAAGGUGGGGAUGACGUCAAGUCCUCAUGGCCCUUAUAUCCAGGGCUACACACGUGCUACAAUG
rnacentral:rRNA from 1 species